CUCUACUGAGGGCCGCGCCAACCAGAUGGAACUCCACCUCCAGGCUGGCACAGACAAUCUACUUUUAACAAUCUGAUCUACGUGCGCUGUUCCGGAUUAUGAGGGACAAUCCGGAUGACUGGGAUGGUGAGACCCUGACCAUGGCCUCCAGAUGUGAUCUUUGACUGUCAAAGGCAUCCACCUGCUCGUAUUGUUCUAUAUAAGUGUCUCCACUCCUGCAGGAACAUCAGCGGACUCAAACACACAUUCGAGUGAUGACCCCUUCCGAUAUGUCAGCUGACCAGGAGAUGAGCCAAGUCCCACCUAUCUACCUCCGAGGCUGUCUGGAGGGCGAGAGGUGGACAUUUAAGCUUACCAACGCUCUCUUUAUUUCACUGACUUGUUGAAUGAUUCAUCCAUUCUUCCAUCCCUCCAUCUCUCUCUCCAGACUUCCUCUCAUCUGAGGACCCAGUGAGUGUGGAACUCAGUCUGAGAGUUGUUGAGGGACUGGUUAGGGAGAACUGUAGCCUACCAUAGGGGUGGUGUUUACCACUGUAGCCUACCAUAGACCGCCACGCCUUUAGCAGGCUUGAAAAGUGACAUUGAUCUGUUUGUCUUUGUUUGAUCCACUUGUUUGCUUCAGUUUUCAGUAAUUGAAUCCUUUGACAUAUUGUUGAUUUAAAAAUGUUUUUCAAAUGCACUGGAGGGGUCGGAAAGAUAUACUAAACUUACAUACGAUGCACAAUUUUGACAUAGCGGAAGAUGCAUACUGAAUGUAUGCUGUUUUUCAUGCUAAGAUAGACCAAGAUACGUGUUGCUUUUGCACAUACUUGUUCAUUGGUUUUGCAAGUCGGUUGGUUGGUUUUGCAAUAUGUUGAUGCCAUUGAUUAAAAGAGUAAGAAUAGGAUGCAAUGUCCAACCCAAAAUCUAAGCUGGUUUUACUCCAUUGUUUGUAAAAAAAAUAUUGUGAGAAGAAGAAAAAAAGCAGUUGGUUGCAUAGAUAAUUAUUAUGACUAAAUGUUAAAUGAAAUGUAAAUAUUAAAUAUCAAAACCGAAUGGAAACCCA